AAAUGAAUAGACGGGGGCCCGCACAAGCGGCGGAGCAUGCUGAUUAAUUCGAUGCAACGCGAAGAACCUUACCAAGGCUUGACAUAUACCGAAAACUCAUGGAGACAUGGGGUCCGCAAGGGCGGUAUACAGGUGGUGCAUGGUUGUCGUCAGCUCGUGUCGUGAGAUGUUGGGUUAAGUCCCGCAACGAGCGCAACCCUCGUCCUAUGUUGCCAGCGCGUUAUGGCGGGGACUCAUAGGAGACUGCCGGGGUCAACUCGGAGGAAGGUGGGGAUGAGGUCAAAUCAUCAUGCCCCUUAUGUCUUGGGCUUCAAGCAUGCUACAAUGGCCGGUACAAAGGGCUGCGAUACCGCAAGGUGGAGCGAAUCCCAAAAAGCCGGUCUCAGUUCGGAUUGGGGUCUGCAACUCGACCCCAUGAAGUCGGAGUCGCUAGUAAUCGCAGAUCAGCAACGCUGCGGUGAAUACGUUCUCGGGCCUUGUACACACCGCCCGU
rnacentral:rRNA from 1 species